AUUACUGGGCGUAAAGCGCACGCAGGCGGUCUGUUAAGUCAGAUGUGAAAUCCCCGGGCUUAACCUGGGAACUGCAUUUGAAACUGGCAGGCUUGAGUCUUGUAGAGGGGGGUAGAAUUCCAGGUGUAGCGGUGAAAUGCGUAGAGAUCUGGAGGAAUACCGGUGGCGAAGGCGGCCCCCUGGACAAAGACUGACGCUCAGGUGCGAAAGCGUGGGGAGCAAACAGGAUUAGAUACCCUGGUAGUCCACGCCGUAAACGAUGUCGACUUGGAGGUUGUUCCCUUGAGGAGUGGCUUCCGGAGCUAACGCGUUAAGUCGACCGCCUGGGGAGUACGGCCGCAAGGUUAAAACUCAAAGGAAUUGGGGCGGG
rnacentral:rRNA from 1 species